rnacentral:rRNA from 1 species
UGCGCAGGCGGAAGAAUAAGUCAGUGGUGAAAUACUGCCGCUCAACGGUAGGGCUGCCAUUGAUACUGUUUUUCUUGAGCAUGGUUGAGGUAGGCGGAAUGUGCGGUGUAGCGGUGAAAUGCAUAGAUAUCGCCCAGAACGCCGAUUGCGAAGGCAGCUUACUAAACCAUUACUGACGCUGAGGCACGAAAGCGUGGGUAGCGAACAGGAUUAGAUACCCUGGUAGUCC